rnacentral:rRNA from 1 species
GAUAAACGCUGGCGGCGUGCCUAACACAUGCAAGUCGAACGCCCUUUUGCGCAAGUGAGAGGGAGUGGCGGACGGGUGAGUAACACGUGGGUACCUACCUUGAGGUGAGGAAUACCACCGAGAAAUCGGUGACAAGACCGCAUACGCUUGGCAACAAGCAAAGUCUCGCAAGAGACGCCACAAGAUGGGCCUGCGCCUGAUUAGCUAGUUGGUGAGGUAACAGCNCACCAAGGCGACGAUCAGUAGCUGGUCUGAGAGGAUGAUCAGCCACACUGGGAUUGAGAACGGCCCAGACUCC